CAACAGAAUUACCACAGAGAACUAGAAAAUGAAACUCAGCUGAAAAACGGCCACCUAAGAUGGAAGAAGCCAUGAGAUGAGUAAGCGUUGCCUACUCACAAGGUUGCAAACUGUCCUUCACUUACGAUUAUCCCCCAACGCCCCCUCCUAAAUCUGAUCAAUCGCAUGGAACUUGAUGGUUACAAAAGACAGAGCUAACAACUAGCGUAAGUGCACCUUCUUCUUUGACAUGACCUUGAACUAAGUCCAAAUGAGCAAUGAACAGCUGAAGUCUCUCAACUGAAAAGAUCAGGACAGAGAGUGCUCUCCAAAGCCUGUGACCCACCCAUGCCUGCUCUAGGUCACUGUAUGAGUCUCUAGCUCUCACAUACAGGAUUGAAAUGCCAUAGCUCAGAAUUAGUGACAACAUAAUCUGGCCUUUAUUUGCCAAUUGCCCCUUAUUUCUUACUACCUCACAAUACAAAUUCUCCCCUCCAACAAUGGCUAUAAUAUAGCCAUUUUCUGUACUACUUAAGAAAUAGAAUUAUAGACUAAUAGACUUGGAAAGAACUUGAAAGAUUAUCUAAUUCAAGAUCCUCACUUUACAGACAAGGAAACUAAUGAAUAGAGAAGAAGAGGACUUCAUGAAAUCCCCAGAAUUAGAAAUCUCUCUUUCUCGUCCUUCUCCUUCUAGCUGUAAGGAUACUAUGCCCAUAGCUGAAUGUGGGGAAACUAAGCAGCAUUGCCCCAUGUCCACGGUCCAGGUCUGCCUCAGGCACAGCCAGCUCCAAUGCCAUUGAGAGAAGAGAUCUCA
ensembl:lncRNA RNASE11-AS1 RNASE11 and RNASE12 antisense RNA 1